GCGAGAAAACUUUGCAAUGUGCGAAAGCACGACAAGGUUAAUCCGAGUGGUUUCUGCUAAAGAAACCUUUUGUCAGUCCUAGAAACACUAACGAAUAAGGGGUGGGCAAGUUCUGGUGUCAGCCGCCGCGGUAAAACCAGCACCUCAAGUGGUCAGGAUGAUUAUUGGGCCUAAAGCAUCCGUAGCUCGUUUUGUAAGUUUUCGGUUAAAUCCAUGCGCUUAACGUAUGGGCUGCCGGGAAUACUGCAUAACUAGGAAGUGGGAGAGGUAGACGGUACUCGGUAGGAAGGGGUAAAAUCCUUUGAUCUAUUGAUGACCACCUGUAGCGAAGGCGGUCUACCAGAACACGUUCGACGGUGAGGGAUGAAAGCUGGGGGAGCAAACCGGAUUAGAUACCCUUGUAGUCCCUGAGCGGGCUGGCAAGGCGCAU
rnacentral:rRNA from 1 species